UUACGGUCACAUUACAUUGAAAACACCGGUUCCCGUACAAUCAGUGAAGUUAAGCAACGUCGAGCCUUGGCUGUACCUAGAUGGGUGACGACCGCUUGGGAAUACUAAUUAC